rnacentral:rRNA from 1 species
UACGUAGGGGGCAAGCGUUGUCCGGAAUCAUUGGGCGUAAAGCGCGUGUAGGCGGCCCGAUAAGUCCGCUGUGAAAGUCCAGGGCUCAACCCUGGAAUGCCGGUGGAUACUGUCGGGCUCGAGUCCGGAAGAGGCGAGUGGAAUUCCUGGUGUAGCGGUGAAAUGCGCAGAUAUCAGGAGGAACACCAAUGGCGAAGGCAGCUCGCUGGGACGGUACUGACGCUGAGACGCGAAAGCGUGGGGAACAAACAGG